UGUUGGUCUGCAAAAUCAAAAUCAAUUUAUUUGAUAGAUACAAAAUUCAAUACUUAGCCACAUAAUCCUAAUCCAUUAAAUAUCAGGAUUAAGAAAGCAUGGAAUUAUUAAAUUACUGUUUCUCAUUGAUAUAACUCAAUUACCCUAAAGAGUGACUUUACUCUCUCAAAUAAGAGGUUCAAUCGUAGUACUUAGGAAUCGAAUCCACAAUGAGCUAGGAAACCAAUUAGAUCUAAUAGUUUAUGAUUAAACUAGGCUAAUAGUUUUAAAGCAGUAAAUAAAUAAGUAAAUAAAGCAGUAAACAAGAUGAACAAGAUAAUUGUUCAGCUUGGCAGAGAGUUGUUAACAGUAAAGAGAAAUAGCUAGAUCUAGGGAUUUAUCAAUCAAAAGAUUCAAAACUACAAUUCAAUGAUGCUAAAGGUUUAUAGAUUCAAUUCUAGAACUCAAUUUUAAUAAGUAAGAAUCUCACUUUCGUAUGCAAUUACUAAUCAGAUGCCUAAGUCUUUGUCCCGGCUGUCGCACGCGAACAAGGAGUGAGCAUCGAUCGAUGCUAUGGCCUGAGCGUCGAUCGAUACUACCUCAGACAAGCAUUAAUGACCUAAUCGAUUAUGUUCAACUAGAUUCCUAGACCAACUAUCGUAUGCGCCUAGGUAUCUAAUCCAACAGAGCUCGGGUUCUGUUAAUUGAUAGUACUUUCGUGCCUCUCAAUUAUCCUAUGAUUCUAGGUUCAAACAAAUAGUCACACUGUCGUGCUAUUCUAACGAUUCCAAAUCCUAGUAUUACAAAUCACCCUGGUAAAGAGAUCUAUAGAUAAUCUAGCAAUCCUAAUUGAUUAUCAGUUUUAGAUUAAACUCAUGAAAUCCCUAAACCUAACAAGAGAAUUACUCAGACAUGGAAGCAAUAAUAGAAAUCAUAGUCUGAAUAAUAAUAUAAUAGAAAUCAACGAUAAAACCAAUGGAGUUCCAAGAGGACUCUCAAGGAGUUCCUCCCUUCUCUCCUAACUAAGAACAAUCAAUAAAAUAAUGCAUAGAUACCGUGUAGCCGUCAACAAUGGUUAAGAAAUAACAUAAAUAGGGUUUCUGGUCGUCCAAGGGUAUUCUGGUAAUUUGGGAUUGCUCCUGGGCUUCAGUCGGUCAUAAAAUAUGCUCGGCCCGCAUUAUGGCAUCCAUAUCGAUCGAUGUCAAGAGUUCUGCAUCGAUCGACAUGCGUUCCUCUUCUCGACAUCUUCCUCUCGUGAGGCAGACUGACCACUCUUCAGUAAAACGGGCAUAACUUCUGCUACAGGAUGGUGAUUGACCUCAAACCGGUGGUAUUGGAAAUCUAACUCACAUCUAUAUCUUGUGUCAAAAGAUGAGCUCAAUCUAAUGGUCGGAAGAUCUUCAUACACAGCUAGACAUCUGACACGUAUGUGCAGUUCUGCACCCCAAAAGACUUCAAAAUCACCAUAUUUCUCCAGAACGUACUUAAACCUGUAAAUACUCUAAAUAGACUCUAUAUAAUAGUAAAUUUAUAUUAAAACACUUAUAGAACAUUGUUAAAAGUGGGUAAAAUUCAUGGUCUAUCACUCAUCUUAAAAUUGUUUUCAUCUAUCUAUUUGUUUUUUGGUUGGGUAUCAUGGUUUGUAUCAUGAUAUCUAUUAUGAUCAAUAUUAAGUAACAUAUUUUUGGUUUCUCGGUUUGGUAUCAUGGUCUGUUACCCAUGUUGUCUAGACCAGCCUAAUUAAUAGACCAGAUUAUGAUGUGUUCGGCUUAGUUGAUAUCCUAAGAUUUUUGAAAGUUAGUAUUAAUAGAUUUUACGCUGCACAGAAUCAAAACAUAACAUUUAUUAUAUUUCACAAACAAAAUUACGUUCUAAAACAAAUUCCUAUUUCGAAGCAAUGAUAUCAAUCAAUUAACACAAUGUCCAUCUUAUAUUCAAAUCUUGCUAAUCAUGUAUGCCUAAUUUAAAAAAAAAAGAAUAUUCUGGUUAUUGCUAUAAUUUAAUGUAAAAGGAAUGUGUAUUAAAUAAAUCAGAAUCGUAUGUUCGUUUUUCAAUGCCUCAAAAUCACAACCAACCAAAUAUUUUAUGCGUAUAUCCUUUCUAACCUAUCCUUUCAAUUUGCCAACUAUAUAUAUCUCAUCUUCAAAACUUGAAAAACAUAUCACAUCACGCAGAACAACCUAAGAAUGUUUACUCCAAUCUCAAAACUCAGAUAUUAUAAAUCCAAUUGGCUUGUUCAAAGCUUACAUUCAUGGAAGCAAAACCCAUCUUUUGGAGAUAGCUUCGAGAUGGUUUGAGCAGACCAAUGGGUAACUUACCUUUCUAAAGACAUGGUGCAAACCUCAGAAAAAAACUAUGAAUGUUGUAUUUAAAGAAGUUUUCGACAACCUUGAACAGUUGGAGCCAUAAGGUUUGAGUCGGUCACAAGUUCCUCUCAGGUGGAAGAAUGCUUGCUGGUUUAGAAAAAUUGUUUUAGUUUAUGCAAACAACCAACCUUUGCUUCCAAUUUCUUUAAUCACACAUCCAUUUAAAAAAAAUUCUUAUUCUUGAGUUUUGAACAAAUAAAGUAUUUUCUUUGGUAAUUUGAAGCUUUUUUUGUUUUAAAUUUUGGUGUUAUACAAGAGUAUCAUUAACAAAAACCAGCACGGCAUGCAUCACUCAGAUAAGUAAAAACCAAACAUCUAUUCUUAAUCCAUGGUUCUUUCAUACUGACAACCUAUUCUAGAUGGUCCUACAUUGCAUUCAUCUUAUGAUUUACUUAUGAUAGAUAAGUAAUUACUAACCGUAUUAUAAGUCUGUUGUUCGUGAAGGUUGUUGUCUUCCUUUUGCAUCUGGAUUACUUGAACUCGGGUCUCAAAACUUCCAACCCAAACCAUGGGGCAAAUUAAAAAGGCAUAAUAUCAUCUAUCAAACGAUUGACAAAUUCUAUGUUAUAGAAGAUUUUAAAAAGGCCAAAGGUUUAACAAUGUCUUACCAUGUCGUUGUAAGUUCACUAUUAUUUUUCGACAACUUUGUGUCCAUCUCCCUUCCCUCGGUUUCUCUAGAAAGAGGAGUUGGUCGGUACUACUAAUACUUCAAGCCUGAAAGAAAAGAUAUAACAAAGUUGACUCUAACUCACAAGUGCAAUGUUGAUUCCGUGACUUCUGAACAGUCUACUAGGUGGCUCUCUCAUUAAACAGAGCCUCUACAAUUAAGUCAACCCGACUUCUCUAAUUAAUAAUUGUUUAUGAUCGUUGCCGAAGCUCCUAUAAUUGGACGUUCAAUCUAAACCGUCAGUUAUAAGUUAAUUUAGGGUUAUCGCUACAAGAAAGAAGAUCGUUAAAUAAAAGUACCUUUGUAUGUCGAUUCUGAUAUGAAUAUAUCAACUCAUAUAUGUUGUUAUGUUCGUCUUCUCCCUUCAACUUCUGUUAGGAGGUUAGGCUUUAUAGAACAGAUGUUCAUGAUAGAAGCUCCAGAAGCUUUUUUCAACCAUUGAUUGUGUUUCAUGUCUAAUCACCCAAAUCUAGAGAUUACUUUUAUCUUCUCCCAUUCCAGUAUGUAUCCUCAAAACUAGCGCUGCUCUACACGAUUUAGAUCAAAUCUACCAAUAUCUCAGUAACAAAACCAAACCCUACUCUAUCAAUAGAAAUCGAUUAUAAUAUAAAUACUAAUCAAACUCCUAACCUUUGUUAUCAAUGUUACUCACUGCCGAUCUUUAAAUUGCUUCGGUUUAGAUUUCGAUACAUAAGUGUUCAGUCUCUAUGUCGGGAUUUUUGGUGAGGAUUCGACGACAGAUAUGAGCUCUGUUUAUAAUGAAACACAAAAGUCCUUUUUCGAUAAAAAGAACAAGAAACGGUUGUUGGUUUCCCGUAAAAAAAACAAACAGAGUUUUAAUGGGCUGAUUUCUUUUAAAUAAUGGAAUGAUAUGACCCAUAUUACAAUUUUUGUUUCUCACCAGUUACUAUGGUCCAAAUUACAUUUACCAUUUAAUAGAUGUUUUUGUAUGAUUGUAAUUAAUUUUGGUAUGAUUGUAAUUAAGUUGCUGCACUAAUAUAGAUAUAUGUUUUUGUAUAAAGUAGUAAAUAACAUAUAUUCCAAUUUUUUUAAAACGUACAAAUACAGUCAUAUUUGUAUAAACAUGUAAAUAAUUUAUAUUCCAAAAUUUUACAAAGUACAAAUACAUUCAAACAACUAAUGGAACUGAAUAAUCUGAACAACAAAUUAGAAAUAUAAAAAAUAAAAACAUUAUGUGCAGACAUGUAAUGUAAAAUAAAUAUGUAAUAUUGUAAAUGUUAUCUAUCUAUAAGAUUAAAAUA